GACGAACGCUGGCGGCGUGCUUAACACAUGCAAGUCGAACGGAAAGGCCUUGUUUUUCUGGUGUGCUCGAGUGACGAACGGGUCAGUAACACGUGAGUCACCUGCCCUUGACUUUGGGAUAACUUCAGGAAACUGGGGCUAAUAGCGGUUAGGAGCUCCAGCUGUAUGGUGGGGGUUGGAAAGUUUCGGAGGAUGGGGUUGGACUCGCGGCUUAUCAGGUUGCUGGUGGGGUAGUGGCUUACCAAGGCUUUGACGGGUAGCGGGCCGGAGAGGGUGACCGGCCACAUUGGGACGGAGAUAAGGCCCAGACUCCUACGGGAAGCAGCAGUGGGGGAUAGUGCACAAUGGGAGGAAGCCUGAGGCAGCAACGCCGCGUGCGGGGUGACGGCCUCCGUGUUGUAGACCGCUUGCGCCUGUGAUGAAGCGGGAGUGACGGUAAUGGGUAAAGAAGCACCGGCUAACUACGUG
rnacentral:rRNA from 1 species